rnacentral:rRNA from 1 species
GACGAACGCUGGCGGCGUGCUUAACACAUGCAAGUCGAACGGUAAGGCCCUUCGGGUACGACGAGUGGCGAACGGGUGAGUAACACGUGGGUGAUCUGCCCUGCACUUCGGGAUAAGCUUGGGAAACUGGGUCUAAUACCGGAUAGGACCACGGUCUGCAUGGAUUGUGGUGGAAAGCUUUUGCGGUGUGGGAUGGGCCCGCGGCCUAUCAGCUUGUUGGUGGGGUGAUGGCCUACCAAGGCGACGACGGGUAGCCGGCCUGAGAGGGUGUCCGGCCACACUGGGACUGAGAUACGGCCCAGACUCCUACGGGAGGCAGCAGUGGGGAAUAUUGCACAAUGGGCGCAAGCCUGAUGCAGCGAUGCCGCGU